CACAAAUUGACAGGAUGAAUACAAUCUCUUUUCUCAUCACCAGGCAAGUUAACCAUGCAAAAACAGUAUAUCAGGCACCUGGUAUAUUCCUAUCAGUGUUUCUUUAAAAAAACUAACCCUAAAAAGCAGUAUUUCCAUUAGUGCCUGAAUUGACAAUUUCCAGACUGAAACUGACCAAUUUUAAUGCUUUUUUUCCUCCUAAGUGAUUUGUUUGCUGUUAGAGUCUUAAUAAUUACCAAAUAUUUUUGUGGAAACUUUUGACACAUUAGUAUUUUUUAAAAACCAGCUAUGGUAUUAAGUAGCCUAGAAAGAGAAUAUGAAAUAGUGUUUAAGGCACAGGCUAACUUUGGAAAUUGAUUUAAAUAAUUUGUGAGUCCAUAAAAGUGUUAUCAUUGAUCUCAUUUAAGCUGCCUUGGACCUUACCUUACCAUGAUCCUAUGUUAUUGUCUCACAUUUCUACCAAGCCUUUGCCUGGAGACCAAUUCACAGAUAUGUUUGCUUCAUUAUCAUCAUAUUAAAAUCUCAGGCUAUACAACAGAAUUUAUGUGGAUUAGCAUGGAUUCAACCUCCUCUCUAAGCCUCUAAGAAGAUGGUGAAAAAUAGAAAUAGGUGGAAAGACUUCUUCAUUGGAAUAUGACACAUCCUCAAAAAUAGAGGCUUCUUUUUCUUUUUUAAUCCUGCCACAUCAAUCAGUAUAACAUUCUAAGUGAUGUCAGCAUCGUGGUGGAGUGAGUUCUCCCCGUAAUCUCUCCCCUCCACCAUACAAUGAAAAAAGACAUUCAUCCUCCAACAGAGGACAUCCAAACACGACACAAAAGAUGUCUGAGAGACCCAUGCAACCAUACGGCAGAGGGCAGAGAGGCUGGAGCCCCCUCAGAGGAGGUGGAACAGGAUCUCUUGUUGCAGCUUUCCUUGGGUUGGGUCCAACAGAAAGCCAGAUGGUACAAGAGCUGAGCUGAUGGAGCCUGUCUGAGUCUCCAGCACAGAUAGCAGACAGCAGAUCCCAGCUAUCUGGAGGGGCAAAUAGAGGAUAUUCAGCUGAUUGUCUGCUUUGUAAACAUAUUAAACAACCUCUUAUCCUUUUGAAGUAGACAAGUUAUAAAUGCAGAGGCAAUUCCUGAAGACAGCUGACGACUGAGGGUUGUGCUCCAGCAGCACUUGGAGCAGCCGGCGGACUGAGUCCUUCGUUCCUAAAGAACAGCUCCUCACAGUAUCCACAAGCAGGAGGAUCAAAGAAAGAGAAAUCCAGAGAUUUCGGAUGAAGCAUCAUUUUUAGAAUUAGGUAAACAUACAAGCUUCUAGAUCCAACUCCCAAUUUAUGGAAAAACAGAGGACAAAGAAAAAUAUUAAAUGGAGCCAAAGCGAUGCAAUCGACAAAAUCUGGAGUGUGGGUUCUUCAACAACUAAAUUGCAAGGAAGAAAAGAGAGGGACGAGGAAUCUGCAGAUCAAAAGAGUUGAGAGAUCUAUUAAUCAAUUGCAAUGUAUGGACAUUACUUUGGUUCUGAUUCGAACAAAUAAACUUAAAAAUUAUGGAAAAAACAGGAAAAUUUGAAUACUGAAUGGAUACUCAAGGCCAUUAAGAAAUUAGUAUUAAUUAUUUAGGUGAGAUAAUCAUGUCAUGGAUAUAUUGAAAUAAUCCUUAUUUUUAAAAUCUUAACGUUAAAAAAAGUGUUUGGAUGAAGUGAUAAAAUUUGCUUUCAAAUAAUCGGGGAAGUUGGAGGAAGUGGAUAGAGGUAUAAAGAAACAAGAGUGUUAUUUCUUCUUCUAUAGGUUUGAAAUUUUAUAUAAACAAGUUUUUUUAAUUGAAGUAAAAUUGAC
rnacentral:lncRNA from 1 species